GCGUCAGGGGUCAUUCAGGGCCACGUGGAGUUUGUUACGGAGAGUGGAGUGGCGUUCAUUAUCGCAACUUGCCAGAGAGUGGUAGAGCCGAAGAGUGGAGUGGUGUCCAUUGUCGUGACUUGCUAGAGAGUGGUGGAGCCAUGUGGAAUCCGUUGCAGAGAGUGGAGUAGGGUAGUGGCCAUUGUCGUGACUUGCCAGAGAGUUCGGAUCUGUCGGCUGGAGCUCGACUGGGAUG
rnacentral:lncRNA from 1 species